UACUGACAAAGGCAAACUUAUUGAUAAGAUAAGGACGCAAAGCCACGGGCCUAAGGAGCAAUCUAUGGUAGCCGGGUUACCGAA
rnacentral:ncRNA from 1 species